UGGUAUUGCCCUCUUCCUUUUGAUAUUAGAUCCUCUAUGGGCCCCUAGCUUCAUGCUAGAAAGAAGAAAGAUGAAGGGACAGAAAGAAUUCUGCAUCAGAAUGCAAUUUUCCUUUAUGUCAUCAUUGCUGCUAAAGACCAGCUGAAGGCUUCCAAAGGAACAGGAACCCCCAGAGCACACAGAGUCCUCAUGUUUCUAGGGACAGAAGAGAGUGCCAAUUCCACUUAUUCUUUUACACCACAAACUUGGUUUUUUUGUACCUCACUCCACCAAAAUACAUUCAGUGUUUUUAUGGUAAGAUUGAAAAGGCACACCAGGAGGGCAAAGGAAAGAUAAUAACCACAAUUUAAAAAUCCUUUGUUCAGAAUGCUCCACACUGAAUCAUGGCUUUUUUUGGGAGGAUGUUUAUUUAUCAGUCUUAAUGUCUUUGCUAUGUAAUCAUGUUAACUAUGGUUUCCUCAGCACCAGGAACAGUGUUCAGCUCUUAACUGGCAAAACACAAUAAAUAUUUGUUGACUGAAUGUUUGAGAAAUGUAACGCAAAGGAGCACAAAAAU
rnacentral:lncRNA from 1 species